rnacentral:lncRNA from 1 species
UUUAUAGUAAAGGGGUGAAAGGGGUUAGUGGUGAGAGAAACUCUAGGGUUUCGAGUUUGGGGCGGCCGCCUCAGAUCUUCUUCAUCUUCAAGUCGUUUGCCGCCUCACUUCUUCUUCAUCUUCUAAGUCGCUUGUCUACGCUGAACGGAGUAAAUCUUGUGAGUUCUUUGUGUGGUUCCAUUUGUUCUUUCCCCUCUCGUAUUAAUUGUUUGUAGUUUGCAAGAUAUUAAUGUCUUCUAGAAAUUUGUCUCUUCUUUGUAUAAGAUUUUUAAGCAUCCUCAUAUUGGUUCAAUUCAAAUGGCAAUUAUUUACCGAUUUUCAUUUAAGGAAUUGUACUUCAUCGCAUAGUAGUUCAACCUUCCUUUAUAUUAUUGAUGUUUUCACAAUUACAUAUAUACUAUUUUAUGGAGAAAUUGGAAUGAGCGUAAUUUUAGAUUCUUUGGAGAAAAUUGCUCAUCUUUUAAGCUGUUGAGUGAUAGGAUUAUUUUCCUUGUAUCUUUUUGGGGUUCUUCUAUGGGGGUCUUUAGAGGUAUCUACUGAUGUGUGAAGAGAUCGAAGGAUUGCACUUUUUUAAAUGUUUUUUUUAGUCCAUUGAGGGUGUAUUUUUCGUUCCCCUUUUAUUGCAUCAUUUCUUCUCUAUUAAUAAAAUUUAUUCUUUUAUCAAAAAAAAAAAAUCACACCUCACAAAUUUGGGUGUUUUUUUAAUAUAUGUUUUUUUACAAUUAUGCAAGGGAAAUAGUGAUUUUAAGUGUUUAAAUUGAUCAAGAAAAUAAUAUUUUGUGUUUUAUCUUCGCAGAAUCUCAGCGAGAUGAUGAUCAUCUCAGAGGUAUCAUCAGUAGUUUCAUUCCAGUUAACACAAGGCAAUUUUGGUAAUGUGUUUGGUAAUGAUAUUAUUUGAUGUAUCAUAAAAUUUAUUUACUCCUAUUUGUUUCAAAAAUACUAAUCGUUACAGACUCUUCUCAAUCCAUUAAUGUUAUACUUUGGUAUUUUUUUGGGUACAAUUGGUAUAGCAUGCAAUUAUUUGAUGAUUUUUUUCAAAAUGUAAUAUGACUUCACUAGUAUUUGUAAUUACUAAAGUUUGAUGCAUAUUUUUUUUCUAGGAAGGAGCUCUGGCCAGGGGUGGAUCUAGAUUUUUUUUUUUCAGUUAUGGCAAUAUAAUUUUAUCUAAAAAAUUAUCGCGAAUACAUUAAAAAUAAAACUAUAUAUAUUAGGUAAAAGGUUUCUACGGUUGACCUAAUAUAAUUUCAAAUAGAACGUAAUUUUGAUUUUCACUGAACAAUUCAAUUGUAAGAAUGCAAAAAGCAUGCAAAAAUAUAAGAACAUGCAAUUUUUUAUAUAAUUCAAAUGACUUUAUAUUAUUUAUUAAUAUUAAAUAAAUCAUGUUGCAUAAAAUAAUUUAUCAAUAUUGCAUAAAUUUUCACUUAUUUUCAAUUACAUAUAAUAUAGAGAUAUAUAUUACAAGGAAAUAAAUAUUAUUGCAAAGUGUAGAUAAAAGAAAAUAAACAUGAUUCCUAGCUUAAUAGAAUUUAUUUUUUAGGUGUUUCUUUUUCUUUUUUUGAAACAGUCCAACAAAUAUAUUCUAGGUGAUUGAUUUCAAUAUUUAAGAUUUCUUAAAUCAUGCAGGGAAUGAGUUUUAAAGUUAAUUCAAUCAAUAUUUAACAUACCAUACAUAUGGAAAAAAAAUAUUUUAACUAUUUAUUUUUGGAAUAAUAUGUAUACUAUAUAAUUUAUUUCCCCCCCUAAAAUCUAGUUAUGGCAAUUGCCACAGCCGGCUCCAAAGCAGAUCCGCCCCUGGCUAUAGCUCAAAUUGUACUUCAGUGGAGGCAUUCUUUGCUAGCCUUAGUGGAGGCACUAUUCUAUGAGUGUGGUCUUAUUUAUGGCCGUAGUUAUAGCCCAAGUCGAAGCACUAUUAUAUAUCUACUAUGGCCUUUCCUUGUAGGGUUUGAGGUUUUGGUUCUGUGUCCCCUUCUACCCAUUGUCAUAAUAUAAAAAGAAAUGUAUAUAUAUGUUGUGGAGGUAAUUUGAUUAUAUUUGCAUAGUAUUCAUUUUUUAAUGUCAUCUUAGCAAUUUGAUACGACGAGAACUUUUAAUAUUAAAAUUAAUGACCAUCUUAUCAUUUGACUUAUUGCUGUUAGACAAUUACUGUACUGUUCUGCUAUCUGAUUGUGUCCUUGUCCCCAUAUUAAAAUAUUGGGUAAAAAUGUAAUUCACCACCUGUGGUUUACACACUUCUGCAAAUCACCACCUAAAAACCACCACUUAAUCACCUGUGGUUUGAAAAAAAGUGCAACAGUUAAUUUUUCCAUCCAGUUUAUGGAGAGUGAACUUUUAGCAAGUGGAUGAGCUGUCCAACAACUAGAUUCCCUAUGCAAAUGGCAAAAAUGUCCUCCUUAACCCAUAUUUAAGAUGCAAGUAGUUCACUUAUUUUUUUUCUUCUUCUCAUAUUCACCAAUUUUCUAUUAAAUUAUGUACAAAAAUACAUCCUAUAAAGUUUUUGGAGUGUCUAAUUGAUUAGUAUGUAUUUGGAUAAAAAAAUUAUAACCAAGAUAUAUAUAUAUAUAUAUAUAUAUAUAUAUAUAUANNNNNNNNNNNNNNNNNNNNNNNNNNNNNNNNNNNNNNNNNNNNNNNNNNNNNNNNNNNNNNNNNNNNNNNNNNNNNNNNNNNNNNNNNNNNNNNNNNNNAUUAAAAAAUAUGAUGUUAAAAAAUUAAUAAAUAAAAAAUCUAUUAAAAGUAAAAAUAUGGUAAAUAUAAGAUGUAAACUAUAAAAAAAAUAACUAAUUUUGUUAUUCAUAAGAUUGAACAAUUACAAAAAUACAUCAAAAUGUUAAUUUAUCUUCACGGACCUCUUGUUAUUCAAUUAUAUUAACAUUUUAAGUAGCUUCAUUUUUUAAUAAAUUUAAUUGAUUUUACUAGCAAAAGGUUAAUAGGGUUUACCAGUGAGAUACAAUGUUUAAGUUGGAAUGCUUACACACACAAUAUGUGCAUUAAGACUAAUAACAAUAAAGCUUAUGCAUCUUCUCACUUCAGUGGAAAUUAGACUAUUUAAACCAUUUCUUCUUCCUUGCUCCAUAAGGUUGGGCUUUGUUCUACAUUGAUGGCUGUACUAUCAGCUGGGAAUGGAGUGGCCUAAAGAAAGACUCCUUUUCUCCCCGAUACCCUUCCUUCGGCAUCCCUGAAAAGGGCAUCUCUUUCAGCACCUGAACCUCUUGGUGGGGGAGCUGCCGGAACAAAAGAAUUUUCUAUUCAAAAAAAAGAAAUAUCGGACAAGAUCGUAGAAAAGGUAGUGGCUGAUCUUUCCCGAACCCAACUCCAUCACCUCUUUGGACAGUGGCCUUUGCUUAUUCCCCUCAUCUUAGGUUUUCGAAUGAAUGGGAAAUUACGUCGUUCUUUGAUUUGCAGAAUAAGUCGAGACACAAGGCAAGGGUAAGGUUCUAUUAGUUUUAAAGUAUAUAGAGACAAAAAUGUUUUGUCCAAACAUUACUGUUUCUUCUCCUCCCAAUAAUUUAGAAAAUCAAUCAACUGUCUUACAAGCCUCAAUCUACUAUAUAUAUAUAUAUAUAAUAUGACUAAUAUUACUAAAAUAUUCUAUAUGUCCACGUGACUUUUUCGUCAUUUAGUUUAAACAAUUCAAUAAUGUGUUUUAUAAGGUACAAUUAGAAAUGUAAAACUCAACAAAAUGAGAUUUUGAUAUAAUUAUACUUUUUUUAAAAAUAUUUUUAAAAAUAUAAUUAUACUUUUUAACAAGUCGUGAUAUAAUUAUACUUUUUUUAAAAAUAUUUUUCCAACUAAAAAUAAAGAAAAGAUAUGAGUAGAAAAAAAUUGAUGUAAAAUAAAUAAUGUGAUAUCCGGAAUAUUCUUAAGGAUUGUAAUUACGAUCUUAAAAGAUUUAAUAAAGGUUGAUUUAGUGACCUAAUCCAUGUGUUAUGCGAGGGAAUCAAGCGGCGUUAAUUCGUGGAAGAAAAAUAUUUUUUUCAAAAAAGCGAAGAAAACACUUUUCGCAUUUACGACAUUUCGUAUUACGCCAUAGUAUUUAUACGGGGUAUAAAUACACAAUUUCUAUUUAAAAGUACGAAAAGUCAAAGUCAACAUUUUGACUAAUCGGAUGAGUUACGAAAGCUAACAACAAAUCGAACUAGAAGCAAACUAAGUUGGAUUUGGACCAAGGGGAAGGGGGCCCAGAUUUGGCAAGGUUGGGAGGGCCUUUUGGCCAUAUAGGAAGAUUGCAAUACUUGCCUAGCUUGUAAGUAUUGUAUCUUGUUUAGCUUGAGUGUUGUUAAGCUUUGCUUGGUGAGUUGUGGCUCUUUGCUAGCUAUGGGAUUGCAUGGCCUUGUUGGACAACUUUGUAUGGGUUAGCUAGUUAGGUUAAGCUUGGUAGAUGAUUGGUGAGAUGUGGCCUUGUGUGAGCCUAAGGUUGAUUAGGGAGAUGUGGCCUUAUGUGAGCCUAAGGUUGCUUGGUGAGAUGUUUUCUAUAAAUAUAACCCUCAAUUCUUCCUUAAUCUUGUUCAAUAAAAUAAGAAGCUUGAGAGAGAAUACCAUAGUAAGAACAAUUAUAAUUGAGAGAGGGAAAUCAAGAGGCUUGGUUAUUCAAGAAUUCAUAAAGCUAACACUUCAAGAGCUAAACCUAGAAUUCAUUUAUUUCGUAUGUUAGUUCGUUCAUAAUUUUUUAUGAUAGAACUUAUGAACGUAUGCAUGUUAGGGUUAUGAUUAUAUGUGUUAGAGUUAGUAAGUCAUAAAGCAUAAUAAACUAAGUAAUGCUUUAGACAACUAAUUGAAUUAAGUUGUAGCAAGUUAAACAUGAAGCUAUAAAAACUUGUUUUUAGUAGUUUUUACAAGAGGUGUGCAGCCUCAUAUGCUUAGAUUUAGUCAUGAAAUUAAUAGCCAAGUCGUAGAGAGAAGUUAUGAACGCGUAGGAAAAAGAAUCACCCAAAAAUACCUAGUAGUUUGAAAGUUAUGCAUGUUUGAAAUAGGUAGGUUGAAACUACCAAAACUGGAAAAAAUGAAAUUUCGAAACUGCUAAGGAAGCGCUGCGGCACUGGGUAGACAGUGGGCGCAGGCGAGCGCUGGCUGCACGUUGGGCUGGCUGUGAAGCGCCGAGUGGCGUUGUGCAUGUCGGGGCGUGCUGCGUAGUACUUGGGCGAUUCCUUAGGGUGUCUAGGCACUAUAUUUUUGUUCGAGUUUUCCAAAGCCUAUUUUGUUAAGUUUAGGUAAUCGGACAUUGUAAAUGAUAAGUAUUGAAAUAAAAUUCAUACUUAAAGCUAAUUAAAGUGAACUAAGAAUGUAGAGUUAUGUUGUGACUGAUUAUAUGUCGACCUCAUCAAAUUAUGUAGGCCGAGCAAAUGACGCAAAAUUAGUGUAAACGUAAGAGACGGAAUCAGGCAGUCUUCUACUCUUUUGCACUUUGUGCAACAAUGUGUUUUAAUCAUUUGAUCUGUGAAGUUCAUUGUAUUAGGUGAAAUGAUUUAUGGAAAGGAGUUAUUUGUCAUUGAUUCGACUUAACUCAAUUUGUGAGCUAUUCUAGUCGGAAUGUUUAUUGUUGAGAUAUUGAAUUGUUAUAAUUCUUUAUUUGUGAUAAGUUGAUUGUGCCAAACCAAAUUGUUUUGGGGCAGAAUCUGAAUGUUAGUAACUGAGUUGAACAACCCUUGUAUUAAGGGGAUGUAUGACAUGCCGGCUAACCGGAUUCUAUACUGUGAAUACAAAUUUAGCACUAUUACAAAUUUAGCACGAUUAGUGUUUAAUUAUCGGGCAGUGUUCUAAAAGUCGCUAGUCGGUCCCAUGUCGGUUGGCUACCGACUAGCGACUAGGGGAUUAAUCAGCUAGUCGGAUUUUCAAUUUUUAAAAAAAUAUAUAUUCUCCUUCCUCAUUCAUAAGUUUUGAGCAAGUAGAAUAACAUAAGUAACACAAAUCAUCAAAUAAAAACAUGAAAACUAAGUAAAACCAAAUAGUUUGAUGCUCUAACGGUCAGAUUUCUAAUAAUUUAAUUUAUAACUGAAGUCAGAUUUUAAUAAUUUAAUUUAUAACUGAAGUUGAAAAAAUUUAAAAUUUAAAAUGAAAUAUAAUAAUUAACUAAAUUAAUUUAUCCAACCUUUUCUUUAAUGCCCACUAAGGAACUAAUUAAGCCUUGUAUCAGUCUUCAGUUGACAAACUGUCGACAAACUAGAGAUGAAGAAGAGCAGCUGACGAAAAAAAAUAGAGAAACUGAGAGAGAGAGAGAGACGAGCCGGAGAAGAAGGCCGAUGAUGAUGAAGAUGAAGAGCAGCAGUCGAGCACUCGUCGUCGUCGGUAGUCUUCGUCUUCGUCAGCGGCAGUCGUCGUCUGCUACACAGUCGACGUCGGUCGGCAGUCGUCGUCGGCAGUCAGUAGCAGUCGUCGUCGAAGCAGUCCAGUCGGUAGCAGUCGUCGUCGGCAACAACAGUCGAAGAAGGAGAAGCAACCGCAGUAGCAGUCGGCGCUAGAAGAAGAAGAAGCAGCAGUCGUCGCCGACUUGAUAUGUUCCAUUUGUUCCGAUUUGCUCCGACUUUACCGACUAGUCGUCGACUUGAGUCCGACUAAGUCGGCCAGCGACUAAAUCAAAGGACUAGGACUUGAUUGACUCGGCGAGCCUCCGACUUCGACCUAGUCCGACUUUUAGAACACUGGUAUCGGGAAACCGAUACACACUGAUGUCACUUUUGUAGCAGUAUUGAUGAACCGUGGACGAGAUUUAUUAUUAGUUCUUGGUUUAACCACUCAGUUUACUAUUAUGAACCACUGUUAUAUCUUUUGUUGUUAAACUUCUAUUCUUUGUACUAGAAUAGAUAUGAAUUCUUUAGACUUGCUGAGCUAUCUUAUGCUCAUUCUUGCAAAUAUUCUUAAUUUGCAGUUAAGGAAGGAAUACCAGAACAAUCUGGCAUUAAAAACGAGAAAGUGAAAGAAUAGUAGUUACGUCAAGAUAGAUAUAAUUAUUGUUGUCUUUUGAUGUAAUAGAACGUAAGUUGUAAUGACGUUGAAAUAUGUAUAAAAGAGAAUUAUUAAGGAAAACAUAGUGUUAUGUCCUUUUUGGAAAUGUAUUAUAUUAGGUACUUUACAUUUGAAGUUGAUGGAUGUAUCGAUUGAAAUAAUUGGAGUUAGUUCUUAUUGAAUGUUAAGGUUGUAUGAGCGUUCUUGAAUUCAUACUUAUGGUAGGUUUAUGACUCAUAGUAGUGUGGUAAGUUUUUGAACCCACAGUCAUAUGAUAAGUUUCUGAUUUGUUUUUGAACUCAUAUUACUAUGGGAGUUCUUAAACUCAUAUUAUUGUGGUAAGUUCCUGAACUCAUAACGUAUGGUAAGUUCUAUGAACGAUGAUUAUAGUAUAUUAUCAGACAAUUAACAUUAUUGACAAUGUUUAGAAAAUUCUAACGAGUAAAGAGGUUAUCUAAUUGAGUGUCGUUUUUAACGAAAGGCCCCAUCUUUUCUAAAAAUGACUUGGUUGUCAUUAUUGUGAGUUUAUAAUAUCUAUACUCAGAAGGAUUUAGUGUUGGAAGUAAGGUGCUAUCCAUAGAAUGGAUGUGAGUCACAUGUUGGGAUAAGGUAAAGACCAAGUUGCGAUCCAGAGUUGAAGAUAGAGAAAUUGAUGUUAGUGUGUAAUGGACUAAGUUAAACCAGAAAGAUAAUGGUUAGUCAACACCAUCUCCACCGUAAAGAGCAGACGGAUUUGGGGGCGUGAGAAAUACAUACAUAUAUAUAUAUAUUGUCUUUAAUUAAGAUGGGGAUCAUAUUUUAGUAAAAAAAUAACUAUAGUAAUGAAUCAUUAAAGAUUAAAUAUUAUUUAUGUUGAUUUGUGUUACAAAUGAAUCAAGAUUGACUAAGAUGAUUGAAGAUUUUCUUAGUUUGAUUUUAGAAGCUAGUUGGUGAAAAUUGAGAAAAAAAAACAAGAUAAAUAACAAAUGAGGUGGUUAUAUGCAAAGUAAGAGUUAAGAAGGGCAUUUUAGUACUUGUUCUUUUAAUGGUGUUAACACUAAAGUGAGACUUUGCAAAUUUUUUAAGCCACAGGUGGCUAAGUGGUGGUUUUUUAACCACAGGUGAUGAUUUACACAAAAUGUGUAAAUCACAGGUGGGCAAAUUACAUUUUACCCUAAAAUAUUUGUUUCACAGAGUUGUACUCAUAUAGUCCUUUUUCUAUUUUUACAAUUCGCAUAAGAGUCCUUUAAGAUCAUUUAACCUUAUUUUACCUGAGAUUUCACUUGGACCAUAUUGUUUCAGAUACAUUUCCAUUGUCUAUCUUUACUACUCGCGUGCUCUCUCCAAGCCCAUGUCCAGGUAGUUCUGAGCCAAAAAAGAUUAAAUGAUUGGUUCAGAUGAUUGAGGAUUUUGGUGGAAGUUUAUGAAAAAGAAUCUAUCGAGAUUCAGAAGAAGAUUGAUCGAGUUAGGAGCUUGAGGAAAUGACUAGAUAAUAUUUCAUGUUACUAUAUGUCACUAAGUCAGUCUAGGAGCUGAAACCAUCUACCAAAUAAAGGAGCUGCAUUAUCUGGGAUAGUUCUUCUUUUUCAACCUUGUUACAUAAUGUUAUGGAUAAUUUGUGGUGAAAAUAUUGAAUUAAAUGGAUGUAAGGACAGUUGUAUGCAAACUGCAGUAGGUCUAGGUGAUAAGAUCCCAUCUGGGAUUGUGAUCUAAUUUCUUUCUCUUUUCUUUUUUUUGGUGUGGCCUGGGGAAAGCGGGGGAGCAGGGGGUGGUGAGGAAAGCAUUGGGCUGGAGUGAGGUAAUUUGGCAUUUUACAACAGGGAGUCUCGAAAACCUUUUUCAGAUAAAUAUGUAAUUUCGUACGUUACUUUCUUAUUUAGAGUUCUUUCAGAAAGAGUUUCUUUCUUUCCUUUCUUUUAAAAUCUAUUAAAAGAAUAGAAAUGGCAUAAUUUUGGUAGGUCUAUUUUUUGUGUUUAGACAAGGUGUACUAGCACUCAACUUGUAAAAUCUAUUUGAAAUUAUCAUAUUUUUCAUAAUCUGAAGCUACUCAUAUACUAAAAAAAUGAAGAGCAGUAAACAAGUUCAGAAAAACCUCAAAUAAUGAUGUCUUUUAACCUAAAAAAUCAAUUACCUGGAUCAUGGAACAACUGAAAUAUUUCUGCAUGUCAGUGAUGCGAACAUCAUUUUGAUGGAGAUGUCUAUAAAGUUGUAUUAUAUCAUGUUCACCAUGCAAGCCCGAUGAUAUGCAGUAUUGACAUGCUGAUGUGUCACAAGUGAUGCAAUAAUGGUUGCAUCGGUUCUUGCUGCGCUCAUGAGCUAUACAACGAUCGAAGAAAGUCCGUUGUAGGAAAUUUUCGAGCCAUUCUGGUUUUUCAAUCUGAGGUCGUACUAUUUGUGCAACCUACAAGAAAUAAUACAUUCCCUUUAUUAACAUUUAUUAUUAUUGAGGUACUGUAAAUCUCAAAGACUUAGGUGAAGAUAUUUAAUUUUUUUGCAUCCAUGAACUUCUUUCUCUUAAUCAUCAUAUGGUUUUCUCAGUUUGAGAAACUAUGGAAUUGUAAAUCAAGACUAGGAAAUGAGUGUGAGUAUUUGCAAGGAAAAGCUAGUGUCUAAACAAGAGUAAGUUUAAUGAUGUAUAACGAACCUGUUCUAUGGAAGGAAAUUUGCAUUAAGACUUAAGCAUAGGUGUGAAAGAAUCAUAUAUUCAGUUACUUACCUAAUUAAUAUUUAUAUUUAAAAGGAUUGACCUUGUGAGCAAGAUGAAGUUGACCUGAGCAGUCCGUAUGCUCAACUGAAGUAAUUGAUUUUCCAAUAAUCUAUUGCAAGUCCUAGAGAACAUUUAAGAAUUCUUCAUCUUCCCUCGAUUUAAUUUCACUUAUAUUUGCAAAAGGUAAUGUAUCAGUCCUAAUUCAACCUUCUUUCUCUCAGGUGAGGUAUGUGAAAUGUUACAAGUUUACAAUGACAACUUGGUUAAUGAAGAAGAGUUGUUCCUCAUGGACCGCUGAACAAGUUUACAUAGAUGAUGGAGCUUCCUCAGCCUGUACAGAGGGACAAACACAUUUCAAAUAUUAUCCUCAAUGGAAGGUACGCAUACACCUUUCUCUGGAACAUUCCUUUUGUUCAUAACCAGAGAAUGAUCUGCGAUUGUGACAAACUGAUGCACUUUGAAGUUGGAUAUUAAUCCGUUCUAGGGUAUUAGUUUUAGCUUUGGUCAUACACGCCUUAUUUUUAUUUUGUCUAAUGAAUUGUUCAGAAAAAGAAAUUAUAAUAACAUGUUUUGAGCGUUUGAGUAUGUAAAAAUUGUUAAAGGCGUGAGUGGUUGCAUUAUGGAUGUGGAUUUGAAGAUUACUGAUCCGAUUAUAUAUAUGUGUGUGUGCGUAAGUUGCUGGAGUAUGAUAUUUGCUAAAUGAUUUUAAAAAGCUGAUGUAAAGUUAUAAACAUAAAAUAACUUCAAAGAUAAGAAGAGACUUGCUAUUUGACUAACAAGGUAGAUCAAUAAUACAUCUGAAAUAGAUUAAUGGUUUCAGAUGUAUGUAAUCAAAUCUCUUCUGGCCAUUUGAAGAGAUUAUAGAUGAAAGCCAGGUGUUGGAAUGAAUAGAAACAGUGAUUUAGAUUAUCUGGAAUUUGGAUUAAGAAACUAAUGUAAUGUGCAAUAAUAGUAUCAACUCAGGAUCAUGAGAUAGUGGGAAAGGGGAGACUGCUGUUCUAUAACAAAACUUGUGCUUUAAUGAAGAAGUCAAAAUUGUAAUAAGAAUAAUAAUAAGAAAAAACUGGUUUAUAUACAUGGCAAAAAGUUGACAUGGAACAUAAAAAUAAAAUUAAAGAGUACAAGGAAGCUAGACACAAUGAAGGUGUAGAAAUAUGUAAAAGCGCAAAGAAAGACUUCAAAAAAGAACAAAGGGGAAAGAAUUGUAUAUAAACCUUCUACACUUGUUGAAAUAUCUGUUAUAGGAAAGGCUAUGGGAUUGAAUCUGCUAAUUCUACAGCAGUUAGUGAGUAGGGGAGUGUAUUGGAGGACCUCUGGGCUCUUUCAAUCGGUGUAAAUGAAGGAAAUUUUGGGCACUAUGUGGAUUGUAAACAAUGCUGUUUUUCUAAUGCAAUUUAAGCGCCCAAUAUUAUUGCUGGGUAGAUAUGUGUGUUUUCUUUAGUGUAUGUGUNNNNNNNNNNNNNNNNNNNNNNNNNNNNNNNNNNNNNNNNNNNNNNNNNNNNNNNNNNNNNNNNNNNNNNNNNNNNNNNNNNNNNNNNNNNNNNNNNNNNUGGUACUCAUUUGCUCAUGUGUUUAAAAUGGAGAGAGGAAUACACUGUGUUUUGAAGGUGGAAAGUUUUGCUUGCACAAUGAUGUUGGCUAUGUUAAAUCUUCUUUUUUUGGGGCUUUUCAUGAAGUUUAUCUGGGAAGCAUUCUUCAUUAGAUUCUUUGGUGAAGUUGGCACUCGAAUAAACUUUUGACAUUCCCUAUGUUAGAAACUACAAGAUUAUGAAAUAAGGGAGACAUUGACCCUGUUUGGGCAACAUAUUUGUUUUGUGUUUUCAAGUUAUAAUCCUCAAGUUAAUCUAAACAUUAUAGCUUGUGUAAUUAUGCAAUGAAAACUUACAAUAAUACCCUAAAUCAAAUUUAUUGUUUCUUUUCUUCUCACUUAAUUUAUUUCUUAUUUGCAACUUGUAAGAAUUGAAGUCAGCUAAUAAGCUUAUGUUGUAAAUAGUAAUGAAUUAUUGGGAAUGUGAGAUGAAGCAUAUUAAAAGAUUUUCAUGAAAUCCUUUCCCUCAUUUUUCUUUUAUGUCUUCAUCAAAUGUUUUUAAGAAUCUAUUUGAGCAUAAACUAUCCUAAGUUAUAAAACAAAUACUAAUCGAAUAAAUUUCACUAUUACACAUCUAAAAAGUACUCGAAAGAAAAGAUUCAAUAUUACAUCAAUUUUGAAAUUUUUGCAUACCUGUUGAAUCGAGCUAGAAGAGGAACCACUCAUCGUUUCUUCUUUGGAGGAAUAAAUAAAACAAAAUUCUUUUGGUUUCUUCUUUCGAGGAAUUCAAAUGGAUUUAAAUAAUGAAGGUACUAAACAAAAGGUAAAAGAGACAGGUCUCAUUUAAUGCAGUUGGAGAUUAUCAUAAUCAGAUUAUAACAUAUGAUGGCUACCAUAAUUUGAUUUUGAUAAUCUCAAGCCUCAUCAAAUAAGGCCUUUAUAUGUUUGCCUUUUCCUUUUGCACAUUAUUGCUUAUUUGAUGAGGCUUGAGAAUCAAAAUCAAAUUAUUAUAAUUUGAUUGUGAUAACCUCCAGUAGAAUUAAAAGAGACCUUUAUCCUUUUUCCUUUUGUACCUUUAUUAUUUAAAUCGAUCCGAAUUUUAUUCUAUUCAUUCCUUCAAAGAAGAAACGCAAAUAAUUUUAUUGUAUUCAUCCCUCCAAAGAUGAAACGACGAGUGAUUCCUCUUCUGGAUCGAUUCAAUAUGUAUGCAAAAAAAUUUAAACUUAAAUGUAAUACUGAAAAUUUCUUUUGAGCAAUGUUCUAAAAGGCGCUAGGCAGGAGGCAGACGGCUGGGGGGGCUAGCGCCAGGGGGACCUAGGCGGAAUUUUUUAUUUUAAGCUAAUUUUAAUAUUUUAUCUUAUAGUUAUCUAAAUAAAAUAAUAAUAUAAAGCAAAACAAUCUAUAAUAAAGGCCUUUGCUUAAAGUUCAAACACAUAUCUUUAACGUAUUAGUUUUAUUCAUAAACAAGAUUGUUAUUAAAUAAUAAAAUUUAAAAUUUCAAGAAUUUAAUUCAAUAUUAAAAUUUAAGAAACAAAACAUAAAUUUAAGAAUUAUAUUGAAUUAAACUAAAUAUUACAAAUGUAUCAUUAUUUAUAUAAUUUGAAAUUGAUACAAGUUCAAAAAAUUAUAACUAUAAUAAAAUUAUCCAUUUUGACUUGAUCUUGUUCACUUUUUGUUAUGAUUUGAUAUGUUACAACCUGCAUUAUGAAUAUGGUAAAUCAUUAGAAAAAUAAAUGUAUCAAGAUCUGAUUUGGGUAAUUAUUAAAAAAAAACCUCUACGUCUAGGUCCGCCUGCGCGCCUAGGCCACGAAUAAAUUUCUGGAGAGAUUUUUUGGCUUAGGCGAGGUGCCAGGGGGGCCUAGCGCCUAAGCGCCGUUUAGACCACUUUUUAGAACACUGCUUUUGAGUAUGUUUUAGGCAUGAACUAACUAGUAAAAUUUUUCGACUAGUGUUUGUUUUAUAACUUAAGAUGGUUUAUACUCAAUAGGUUUUUAACAAGAUUUGUUAAAGGCAAAAAUAAAAAUGAGGGAAAGAACUUUAAUUGUUUUUCAUAUAAAACUUUUGAUAUGCUUCCCCGCACAUUCCCAAUGUUUCAUCACUAUUUACAACACAAGCUUAUUAGCUCAAUUAAUUUUUACAAUAAAGUGAGCAAUUAAGUGAGAAUAAGCAAUAAAUUUGAUUUAUGGUAUUCGCUUAAGUUUGAAGAAUUCAUUGCAUAAUUGUCCAAUCACCCUCAGAAAUCUGAGGAUUAUACCUUAUUUGUGUAAGUUGUAUUAAACACUACAAUGUUGGGUUAUUUUAAGCUAUAAACUCUAGUACAAAUUAGUUGCACAAACAACCACAUAUUAUAGUUUUUCUUUCUUGUAGAAGGUAAAUAAAGUGAGAAGGGGAUAUGCUAUUUUUUUGGGGGGCCUAAGGAAUGACUUUGUACUAGUUUUUCCCUUUAAUCUUCUUUGGGGCCUUUAGGUUUAGGAGUGCUACACUGCCCUAGGGAUGCAUUUAUCUCUCAUAAUUCCUUUCCUUUGACCGAAUUUGAAAACCUAUCAAAUAGUAUAUAUGUGAAAUAAAUGCGGAAAGAAAAUUCAUUUUAUUGUUGAAACUUUUUAGUGUAGUGACGUUAUAUGACUUGGGUAGUGUUUGAUAGCCUCUUAUUGCCUCUUUUUGGCCUUAUAUCUUUUUCGCACAGAGGCUAUAUUGUUUAAUAAAAAAAAAAUUCAACCUCUUUUUGCCUAUUAAAAAAAACAUUGAAAAAUAGAAUAAGAGGCUCUUCAUUACUAUUUAUUCUUACUAUCUUAAUUUCAUAUUUUUAAUUAUUUACUCACUUGUCUCGCUACACCAGCCACCAUCACCCACAACCACCCACCACCACAAUCCACCACCAGGCAGAACCACCCAUCAUCCACCAUACCGCUCACCACUGCCACCACCAUAGCCCACCAUCCACCACCACCAUUAGCAUAUUUUAUAAUAAUUAUGUAAAAUUGUCAUAACUAUUUAAUGUUUAUUAUACUUGAAAUAUUUUACUAGUUAUACAUUUUUGGUGAUUUUGUUUAAAUUAAUUAUUUAAUAUUUAUUAUAAUUUUAUCCUCACUUUAAGUUUGUAUAAACUGAUAUAAAGGUAAAUUAGUAAAAUGUUAUAUUCAGACAAACAAAAAAGAUGUAUCAAACAACUCUAUUUCAUUUCAUCUCUGUUUUAAAAAGAGUACUUUAUACAGAGCCUCUAUUUUAAUAAAUUAGUUUUAUCAAACACUACCUUAUUAUUUCACAUUUAUAUAUUUUUAUUAAAGUAAAAUAUGCUGCCUUCCUUUGCCAUUAAUUGACCUCUUUUUUUUUUUUGCCUUGGUAGGAAGUCUGAAAUUGAUUGAACAUCUUCAUUUUAUUUCAAUUCAAAGCAUUAUCGACCCCGCAAUCCAUUUAAAUAAGAUUAUAUGACUCGCUUUUGCUCCAAUUAAAAUCUUUGUGGACACUAUACAAUUCUUAAAUUACGUUACAUCUUCUUAGGUUCAAUUACUGUUUACAGAGGGAAGGAGGGACUAUUAGAGAAACAUUUUGGUAAAUAUUGUAGAGCUUUUUUUGGUACCAUUAAACUUCAAUACAUUCAAAUGUGGGGGUGGGCAAUUGUAGAGAAAUUUUAAGAUAUUAAUCAUAAUAAAAUUAGGUAGAUAAGUGGUAAAUGGUAAUCAUGGCUUCAGAUGCCUUAUAUUCAUUGUUUUCUAGUGGAUUAAAUACUUUUAAAUGGGUUUGCAUCGAGACAACGAGAAAAAGUUGUGUUUACAGUAGUGAUGAACUCGUAUCAGCUGUCCUUCUCAAAUACCACACUGAAGAAUUCAUAGUCUUAAUGACGUUAGUGAUUUCUUAUUGACUUGAUGCAUAACUUUUGACUAGUGCCUGAUCCACAGAGUUUUAGCAUGUUAUCUUAUUUAAGUAGCAGCUUACUAGAGUUCUACGUUGCACUGGUGUUAACCGUGUUAUCAUGCUAUCUAAUUUGGUGGUUAUCCUCUAAAAACUAAUAUUAGACACUUCGAAGUUAGACCCCCACAUUCUACACAAUGGAUCAAAUUGGUCAACUAGUCAACGAAAUUUUCUUACAAAGAUCAAUUUAUACUCAAAUUUUGUAAUAAAAGUUUUUAAAAAGUCAUAUUCGAUAGUUCGCAAAUCUGAAAUUGGAUUUGGGGGUUCGGCAAAUGUUUACAAAUAUUAAAUAGAUUUAUAUAUAGAUAUAAAUAUGAUUAUAUAUAUUUGUAUGUAUAUACACACACAUUAAAAUUUCAGUACCAAUAAAUAAUAAUUCAUAAUAGAAUGUUGAAAUAUUCAAGACAAACAAAGUUGUUUAUGCUAAUUCUAUUUAGAAAAACAGAAAAUAUAUAGAAUUAGUAUAUAAAACAUUAUAAUAAUAGUAUAGUAAUAUAUUCAAUUUUUAUCAUCUAGAAAAAAUACUGAAGAAUCCUUCUGAAGAAUCUUGCCAAAUCUAGAAGAAUCCAAGAAUUCCUGAAUGAGUUUGGCAAUUCGCUAAUCUACCGAAGAACGGUUGUUUCCUAAUAAAAAUCGAAGUGACUUAUCUACGAAAUACAUAAAUAAAUUUGUAAUAUCAUUAUAUAUAUAUAAUGUAUCCAAUUUUUUGUUCAUUCAAUCUGGAGGAAGAAUGCCUGGUGAUAAUAGCCGUUGUUUUCUUUCAAAAUAAUAAAGUUGCAAAAGGAUUUAUUAAGGAGAUAAUGUCCUCGUAUAGUGCAACUGGAUAUUACAACAAUCAGAUUAUGACAUACUUAUUAUUUUGUAAGCUCAUUUGUUUUUAACUUUUUAUAACGUUGAAACCUCAAAAUGCAAUAGACUUACCACCGGGAGCACACAAUAUUCCACAAACCACGCACGCCGGUAAGUUCAUAGUAAACUCUGUUUUGGUGGCUCCAAAGGAUGACAUGCUGAUUAUUAACAAUUAGAAUAUGAAAAUUUUAAAUAUGAUAAUCAAAUUAUUGACCAUUAAAUUAUUUAGAGGCUAUUCUGAUAAAUUUUUAAAAAAUUAGACGCUUGCACAAUUUAUAGUGUGAUAUUUACCUUUUAAAAACUCUGCGUAUGACUUAUUGCAUAGCUACUAAAGGUUGAGUCAGGUGUUGCAAUAUAAUUAUAAAUAAUUAGCUCUCUCUUAUUAAAAUGAACCAAUAAUGUGAAGCCUUAUUGUUUUUUUUUUAAUACUUUUUUGCUAUCAUUUGGGCUCAUUGCAGCCUACUCCAACUAGUUUGGGUUAAAAAGUUGAGUUGAGUUUCAGUUGAGUUGAGUAAUCCUGUAAGCAAUAUGUGGAUUAAGCAUAUUAUAUGUUUUAUUGUAAAUUAUUUGUAUAAAUUGGCUAAACACAACUAUGCGAGCUUAUAGUUAAACUAGAAGUUGUAAUGUGAUACAAUAUAAGUUUCACCAAACAUAAACAUAAAAUAAUUUUUCUUAGUCUGUAUAAGUACUACAUUAAAUAUUUAAUUUUUAUUAUUUAUUCUUUAAGUGAAGAGAUGGAGUUCGAAAUCCUAAGAUCCUUUGCCUAUGAUGUCCUUUGACUUGUAUAUAUUAUUAGCAGAGUUCCCAUUUAAAGUGUGGUCAACACAUCUCAGCAUAGUAGCUAAACUAGAUUUCACUUCAUUCACUGAUUUCACAAAUUUCAAUCAAGUAAUCAUAGAGGUCACUUUCUACUUACGCAUUUAACUACAAACAAUAGGUGAGUUAGGGGAUAAUAAGUUUGAGGUAAUCCGCUUGUAUAGCACAACCUCCGUUUCAAUAUUAGAGAUGCAUUUUUCUAGGGCAGUGUAUUCUUGACCAUGGUGCAGUUUUUUUCUACUUAUCGAAAUUGAGUGCACAGGAUUAUGUUGUGCCUAUACUGAAUUGCAACGCAACUCAACUAGGGGCUGCAAAUGAACCCAUAUGAAAACCAAAAAGUAAAAGGCAAUAUGGGUUUCACAUGGGUUAAUUUUUACAAGCUAAGUUUUAUAUCCACCUUUUACGUGACUAACAUCGGAUACAACACUCCUUUAUCCUAGCCUGAAAUGGCCACACAAGAAGCAUAAUCGGAGUUUUUAAAGGGUGCCACACUAUAAUAUGUGCAGUCAUCUAAUUAAUCUUUUUGAAUUUUUUAUAAUAUCCUAAAUAAUUUAGUUGUUAAUAAUUUGAUUAUCAUAAUCAAUUUUCAAUAGUCUGGUUGUAACAACUUGUAUCUUUUGGGACCACCCAAACAUAGUUUACUAUGGGCUUAGCCGAUGGGCGUAGUUUGUGGUAAGGUCGACCCAUUGCACAUCUCCACCGGCAAAAUAAAUAAAAACUAAUCAAAUUGUCAUAAUCAUAUGAUUAAGUACGAUUGUUUUAAUAUACGGGGUCUUUAUCUCUUUAACCAAAGUCCUUUUGUAACUUCAUUGUUUUCAAUUGAUGGUUAUCCUGCCAGCUAUUCCUCCUCGAGAUUGAUUCAACAUGUACAAAUUUUUGACACAUUAUAUUUAAUAUUGCAAAUUUGUUUAUGUAUUUCUUAGAUAAGUAUGAGAUAUAUCAUGCAUUCAUCAAUUUUCCCAGUACAAAUUUGAGUAUAAACUGAUCAACUGUCUUGUAAAAAAAAAUUCUUUGACCAGUUGACUUAUAUGGUGUGCCUAUAUUCUUCUAUAAUCCUGGCAACAUGCAGGCAGCUUGUAAAAAAAAUCUUUGACCAGUUGACUUACAUGUUAUCAGCUUGGUUUUUUUCUUCUUUAUUAUUAUUCUGUAUAUGAAGUUCUCUGUGUUUUGUUUAUUUUCUCAUUUUAUUGUUGAGCCUUGAUACCGUGGUCGUGGAGUUGAGUUUUGUUUGUAACCAACAAAUGUGCUUGCUGAUGUGGCCAAGGACUGCAAAUUUAGAAGCUUGCUGAUGAUGAUGCUCCCAGUGCCCCUUCAUUAGCUGGUUUUGCCCGGGGAUCAAUCAAGUUGCUGAAGAGAUUUUGAUUUUAGAGGAAAUGGUACACCUUGCCCUGAAAGCUCAAGGGGUUUUGCACUUACAGAUGAAGCAAAUGUGACCAAAAUUUUAUUCCACUAUGGAUGGUACUGCAAACAGAAUUAUGUCCCACUAUUAUGUAUGUGUUGAUUUUAUUUUUUGGAUUUACUUUUAUAGAGUUCAUUGGAGAAUUUUGAACAACUGAAGUUGCUUCUUUAUGCCUCACGGGACGGACUGGUGCUGUUUCUUCCAUCCCUCCGCCAGCUCAUUUUCCACAUUUCAUGCUAGGUAGAAACUAGUUAUGUUGAAUUUCUCCAUCCAUAUCUUGUCAUAAACUGGCCCAACCAAUUUAUCUAUUUACUUGAUAUAUGGCUGAUUCUUAUAUGAUAAGUUGCCUUGAUACAUCUCAUUCCUUGUCUAAAAUUUUCUUCUUGCUGUACAGCUUACUUGGUAAGACCUGAUUCAUGUCAACUAAAAGGCUGGAGAAUGUCCUAAUUUUGGACUUAAAACAGCUAUUUCAACCCUAAUGUCUAGACAAAAGCUUGGAUUAUGCUCUGGCUUAACUGCAGUAGUCAAUUGGUUAGGCACGAGGUUGGUUAUCAACAUUCAAUUUCAUCAUUCAUGAUAAACCGCUCUAUAUCAGAAAUAUCUAAAGUUUUUCCUCUUAUGGAUAUGUUAUUAAGUAAUGUGAUUUUCCAACUUAUAUUAUGGUCUAUUUUUGAUAGGUCACCUUGGGAUUGAAACAGUCAGGCAUCGUCAGCAGGUAACUUGGUAUGAUGAGCAAAUUGAUUUUUGGUUUUCAUGGAGUCAGUCAACAAGAGGUAGCUGUAGUGGUGCUUGAUAGGUAGUGGAUUAUUAUUUCUCCUGUAUUUGUUUUUGACAAAUAUUUUAUACUGUUUUUAAUUUAAAUCACUAAAUAUGAACAUAAAUAUUUAUAAAAUAUUGAAUAUUAUUACAUACACCCUUUGUUCCACAAAAAGAGUUACAUUAUCCAAAUAUGUAAACUUUUAAGGAUGUUUUGUUAGUUUAAUAGUCUUGUCAUGAUAAUGAAAAUAUGGUUCUAAACUUGAGAAAAUUAUGUCCUUUUAUAUGAUGACUUAUCAAAAAAUUAAUAAAUAGGACAUGUUGUGGACAUAGAUCCUGGGUGAG